ACGUCAUUUGUACAACUGCUCUUAUAAGCAGGUCGAACCUUAAUGGUUGGUCCUGGUACACCACGUGGUUAGUGUACCAUCCAAUAGAUAGAGGACAUACGGAAUAUUUCCAAUGCAGCCCGUCACAUGUUAUAAAAAGAAAAGUAAGAAGUUGGACAAAACUCCACAUGUCCUAUGUUUAUUAAAUGGUACACCAGCCACGUGGUGUAUCAUGAACAUAUAAAAAUUUCUCCCUGCAUUAGGGUAGGAGUAGCAUGGGCUUGAAUGAGACUCCAACUUCCAAUACAAACUCUCGUUUACUUGUGAAAACGGUUGUGCGGGUGAUGUGGGCCGACCGCCUCACUCAAGACUUUCUCAUAAAACAACGGUGGCAGGAAAUUUAGUAUAAUUGCUUAUUGCUUCAGUAAAGCCCGUAGUAGAAAAAUGUUUGGGCCUUAAAAGAUGGUCCACUAUUUAAAAGAAGAAAAGAACCCAAACCCUAAUCUGAGCCUAUAAAAGAUGGUCUCUUUUCUCAUCUUCUCCGUGUGCUUCUGUAUGUGUGUAGUUAGAUUGAAUGAUAAUAGUGUUUAGGGUUUAGGGUAACGUUGUAAUGUGAGGAAAGUGAUGAGAAGUUUUGUCGCCCCAGUCUUACAAGCAUCAUCCAAUUUUUGAUGCUUGAUGGUGAUUGACUCUCUUUCUGAUUCCUCUGUUUUCUCUCUCUCUCUCUCUCUCUCUCUCUCUCUCUCAAUUUUCUUUUGGUGAAAUUUUGAAUGCAAAUUGUUGAAUCUUGGGAAGGAGCAAGAGGGGAGGUGUGAUGAUGAUAAUCCAUUGAAUCAUCCUGAAAAUCAGAAUCUGAUUUUGAUGACCUAUUCUAAUCAAAUUACAUGCACUACCAUCUGAUCUCUCUCUUGCAGCAGCCCUGCUGUUUUUAAAAACAAAAAAUCAAUUGUUUUUUGUGUUGUAUUUUGGCCCAUAGGUAUCUGAUGUCCAGAUUUAAACUUGAAUCAAUUGGUUUAGUUUUUGUGGCUGGGCAUUUCGUAAAAACUUGGGCCAAAUUGAUUUCAAAAACAGGUCUUGCGACACAGCUUGCUUCUUUCAACCAUAAGCAUUCUGUUACUUAAUCCCUGCUUACAUUUUCUUGGAUUUUUUUUCUUAAUGUACACAAGUAAAAAGAUAGUUCCAAUCUGAAACCAGAUGAUUUGAAGAACAUACGGACACUCAUAUUUUGUAAUCUGAAAUAUGAUGAUUUUGACAACAUGAACCCAAAGGACAAGAUGAAUUCAGAAACAGGUGAUAGUUUUUGCCAAUGGGGUUUGCAAUACAAUCAAUUGACCAGUUUGUGCAUUGCUGCGAAGCUGCCAACCAGAAACGUACUUCCCUGCCCAAAGACGUAACAUCUGUUUAAAUGUGUCUGUUGGGGUUUUGGAUUGUGCUCGGGCAGGCUUGUUUAUCAUCUAGAUUGUACCUGGUUGGGGCAAUUAGCCCAGACCCUAGGCCCAUACUUUGAAGCAUCACUAGACUAUAUUUUGGAUGAAGUUGAAGUAUGUCAGUGAGAUUCAUAGAAGUCAAGCAUAUCAAAGCAGAGAAAAAAAUCAAACAGAGAAUCCUGUGUUCGGCAAAUCUCAAAACAAAAAUGAGAAAGUAAAUUAACCAAUAAAAUGGAACUCGUCGUAAGGAACAACAUGUUUUUGAGGACCUUUUCUAUUGAAAGGGGCGAUAGCAUAUUAAACUCACACAUAAAAUACAGAUGCUAGAAAAUCAAAAUCAUGUAUCAAAUCAAAAUGUUACUUUAUCAUGACAUAUAUCUCAUACAAAAUUUAUGAUCACUUUAGUUCUCGAUUAUAAAAUAGAAGAUGUAAGUGAUAAUUUCAAAACAUCAGUUUCAAAGUUAUGUACUCUUUGCCAAAGCUCUAGGAUUGUCGACAUUUAGUUUUGACAAAAGAGCAGUUGAAGAACAUAUCAUGGCAUGUUUUUUCCUACAAAUAGAAGAUCAUCGCAACAAUCACUUGUUACCGUUCCACCUUCAAAAAUAUUUCCGCCUACUUGCCAAGCGCAAUUAAUGGAGAUAUGUUUGCAUUCAACCAAGGUCUCUGAAUUUAAUGCCUUUGAGGUUGGAAUUGCGAUAGAAGGUGCGGGAGAAACUAUAAUUUCAACACAUUUGUCCCAAACUUGUGUACUCUCUGCUAAAGCUCUAGAUUUGUCGACAAUGGGUUUGGAGGUAAGAACAGAGUUGAAGAACAGAUCAUGACAAGUUUUGCCUACGGACACAAGUUCAUAACAACAACCAUCAGUUACAAUCCCACCUUCAAAAAUGCUUCCACCAACUUCCCGAGCGCAAUUAUUGGAUAUAUGUUUUUUACAUUCAUCCAAGGUUUUCAAAUUAGAUUCCUCUAAAGUUGGAAUUGCGAAACUUGUGAAAAUCAUUCUUGAUGGGCUCGCCAAAAGCAAAAUGGCCAACAUCGAGAACAUAUUUAGUGCGGCCAUAGUGCUUUUUGCUACGAGUUAGUUUUUGUUUUCUUGGGCAAAGGCAAAGAAUUCUUUGAUGGAGUUGAGUUUAAGAGUUUUUUUUAUUUAUAAAGGUUUGCAAUGAUCCAAGUCAUUUGGAAUUUGAAAACGCCCUAGUACCUCAUAAAUACGUUUUUAAAAAAAUUAAUUUCUCUUGAUUUUAAAGAUGAGAGUUUCUUCAACUUACUUAAGUUACCAUAUAUUUUCAACCAAUAACCGCUUGUAAUUGAACUUACUAAUUGUGUGACAUUACUAGUGUUCAAUGUUUUACACGCUUGGUUAAAAACUUUGUUGUCCUCGACAAUGUUUUUGUACAACAACAACAACAUGCACUGUUUAAUUAAGGGCCCGUUUAAUAACCAUUUCAAUUUUAGUUUUUAGUUUUUAGUUUUCAUUUUUUGUGUUGGAGUAUAGAGAAAAAAUUGAAAAAAUAUAAGUGAGAAUGAGAGUGGAGAUGGGAUUGAGAGGAAAGAUAAGAGGGGAUAAUGGGAGAGAAGAGUAACAAAAGUGAAAACCAAACUAAUAACUUAAAUUUAUUUGAAAUUGUUUUCACUUGUGUUACUCCUCCUCUUCAUCUUCCCUUCUCAUCCUUACUCUCAAUCUCAUCACCCCUAUUCUCACUUUCAUUUUCCUCUAUACUCUAGCACAAAAAAUGAAAACUAAGAACUAAAAUUGAAAUAAUAAUAGGCUCUAAAUUGUUGGUUUCAAAUGGUCAUUCAAGUGGAAAAGGGCCUUCAUCGCUUGUAUUAAAAAUAAUCAUCAUCAUCAUCAUCAUGCCAUGCCUUCAAAGUGCCUCUUGGGCCACAAGUAACUAUAUGAACCCCUCUACACAAUGAGGUAUAAUGAGCCAGUUUCUUAAGUGGUUUUGAAAAAUGAAGUUUGGGUGGGAUGUGGGUUCUCGAUUUAGCCCUAAGCCCAUCUCUAGGAGAAAUAUUUGUAUGAAACAUGGAUAGCACUAUUUUGUUAUCCUUGAUCAAUCACAGCAUGCCAUUUUCACACCCCGGACCUGGGGGUUGGUGGAAACCCCACGUUCGAUGCGUGAGAAAAUAAAAUAAAAUAAAAAGAAGCCGAAAUAUGGGUUUAAAAUAAACUUCUCUUAUAAAAAUAACUCCAAAAUCUUACAACUUUACAGGAAAUAAAUAAAGCUCUAUUGCUCUCAUCUAAUUCAGUCUCAACUGGUUUAGUCUUUGUCUUGCCUACUAAUUCAUCUGAAAGAUUAAACAGGAUGAAGGAUGAGCAACCACCGCUCAGUAGGGACAUGAGACCUUACCACAGUAUAUUGAUAUAACUAAGUUAAGUGACAUGCAAUCGCACAACCAAAUAUCACAUUAAUAAUAAUACAUGAAUGAAUGCUCUUUAUCUACUCCCGUUAAUUCAUAUAACUGGACAAGCAGACCAGCACGUCUCAUACCAUGCUUAUACCACUUGGUCCUGAAUGCCCAUUUAUAUGAACUAACACCCAUUUCAAUCAUCCCAUAAUUCCCUUUUUGUUAGUUAUCUUGUCUAACUCCCUGUUGCCAGUCCCGAAUCACUCAAUAAAAAUCAUGUGCGCUGUGGGAUCCAUGAGACCUAAUACCUGCCAAGAGUUAGACUCAACUACACAAAAGACUAUUUCCAUUACCCUCUUUUCCAUCAUUAUUUUCUCAAUCCAACAACUCCAACCCAUUUCCAUGACAUGAUAUAAUUAUGCCUUUCGCAUAUCCUAUAUAUCUUACAACCAUUUAAAAUAGCACCAAUGCAUAUAUAAUUAUGCCAACAUUGUUCAAAUAGUUAAGAGUAUGUAAACACCCAAUACCAGGAACAUUAAUCAAACUGUAAUAUCAAGAACAUCCAUUAUAAUAUCACACAUAAUAUAGAGCUCACGAAAUUUAAUUAUAUCAAUCUCCGUAAAGGUCUCAAGAAACCCCCUACCUCGACACCAAAGCUUUUGCUAGAAAUAUAAGGUGUUUUCCCAAUUUUCCACUAUAUCCACAAACUCGGUCUCCCACCCUUUUUCUUAACAAUUCUUCUUCUCUCUAAAUUUCUU
rnacentral:lncRNA from 1 species